AGAUCUUUAUGGUAUGGCAAAGUCUUUCAUCAGCCGAUGGUAUAAUGGACUACCAGUUGGAUGAUAUACAGUCAUCUGAAACAUGAUAUAUACUUCUCCUCUCCCGUGUCCAUGCCUACAUGCUGACACAGUACCAGUUUUGUUUCCAAAAGAGGAGUUCACAGAAUUACAGUGUCUGAUCCAACUAGCUGCUCUGAUGAUACUCACUGGACCAUGUAGGUAAAAUUCAAAAAACCCUAUUUAUAUCUAUACAGUAUCUGUAAAAGUAUUCAACGUAUUGGGA
rnacentral:lncRNA from 12 species